CCUACGGGAGGCAGCAGUGAGGAAUAUUGGUCAAUGGGCGAGAGCCUGAACCAGCAAAGUAGCGUGAAGGAUGACUGCCCUACGGGGGGGAAACUUCUUUUAUAAAGGAAUAAAGUGAGGCACGUGUGCCUUUUUGUAUGUACUUUAUGAAUAAGGAUCGGCUAACUCCGUGCCAGCAGCCGCGGUAAUACGGAUGAUCCGAGCUUUAUCCGGAUUUAAUGGGUUGAAAGGGAGCGUAGAUGGGUUGUUAAGUCAGUUGUGAAAGUUAGCGGCUCAACCGUAAAAUUGCAAUUGAUCCUGGCAGUCUUGAGUACAGUUGAGGUAGGCGUCAUUC
rnacentral:rRNA from 1 species